CUUCAACCUGCCAGGACGUUCUGACAGAAAGGUUGAGCUCUCCUUCAGAGGUUUCACUCAUAAAACCAGAGCCCUGCAGUGUGAGAAUGUUGCCAUCUUCAAUGAGCAUUUCCGUUGGCCCAAUUAUGGUAAAGAGAUCACAGAGGAACUUUUGUCUGUCAGUGUUUACAACUGCAGCAAAUUC